rnacentral:rRNA from 1 species
AACGUAGGACGCAAGCGUUAUCCGGAGUUACUGGGCGUAAAGAGCGCGCAGGCGGGUUGUUAAGUUCUGCAUGAAAGCUCCUGGCUAAACUGGGAGAGGAUGGAGGAUACUGACAGCCUAGAGUGAGGAAGAGGAAGGUGGAAUUCCGCGUGUAGUGGUGAAAUGCGUAGAGAUGCGGAGGAACACCAGUGGCGAAGGCGGCCUUCUGGUCCUCAACUGACGCUGAGGCGCGAAAGCAUGGGUAG